GCCAGCAUGGCAUAGUGGUUUGAGUGUUGGACUUAUGACUCUGGAGACCAGGGUUCAAGUCCCUGAUCAUCCA